rnacentral:rRNA from 1 species
UACGGAGGGUGCAAGCGUUAUCCGGAUUUACUGGGUUUAAAGGGUGUGUAGGCGGGCUUUUAAGUCAGUGGUGAAAUCUCCGGGCUCAACCUGGAAACUGCCAUUGAUACUAUUAGUCUUGAAUUCUGUUGAGGUAGGCGGAAUAAGUCAUGUAGCGGUGAAAUGCAUAGAUAUGACUUAGAACACCAAUUGCGAAGGCAGCUUACUAAACAGAUAUUGACGCUGAGGCACGAAAGCGUGGGGAUCAAACAGG